rnacentral:rRNA from 1 species
UACGUAGGGUGCAAGCGUUAAUCGGAAUUACUGGGCGUAAAGCGUGCGCAGGCGGUUAUGUAAGACAGAUGUGAAAUGCCCGGGCUUAGCCUGGGAACUGCAUUUGUGACUGCAUGGCUAGAGUUUGGCAGAGGGGGGUAGAAUUCCACGUGUAGCAGUGAAAUGCGUAGAUAUGUGGAGGAACACCGAUGGCGAAGGCAGCCCCCUGGGUCAAGAUUGACGCUCAUGCACGAAAGGCGUGGGGAGCAAACAGG